rnacentral:rRNA from 1 species
UACGUAGGUGGCAAGCGUUGUCCGGAUUUAUUGGGUUUAAAGGGUGCGUAGGCGGCCCCGUAAGUCAGUGCUGAAAUAUCCCGGCUUAACCGGGAGGGUGGCAUUGAUACUGCGAGGCUUGAGUAAAGUUGAGGUAGGCGGAAUUGACGGUGUAGCGGUGAAAUGCUUAGAUAUCGUCAAGGACACCGAUAGUGUAGACAGCUUAC